rnacentral:lncRNA from 1 species
GUAAUAAUUGGGCACGAUUUGGCCCAUUAAUGGCGUAAUGGAGAACGGGACCGGAUCAGACCGGAAUCAGGGAGUUGUCACGGUCGAUCGGACCUGUUGGAGUGGUUGAACCGCCGGCUGUGGUGGGCCUGGGGUCUGUGGAUGGUAAGUGCAUUUAUUACCGAAUGAACCGGCGGUCAGGGAGAGCCAUACGUUCUGAUGGUUCAGUGAUCCGGAGAUCGUCUUGGGCCGUGUUCAUUAAAUGACUGAGUGUAUCGGAGACUUGAGAGAGUCUCGUGCAUUAAUGGCAGGUCGUGCCGAAUACCUGCGAAGAUCUUAUGCCUUGAUGGCUUGGAGAUAGUGGCAGGUUAUAGUGGAGUUGUCAGGUCC